GAGAAUCGUGAGCCCUCGUCUGAGAGUAGUAAAAAUAAUUCCCUUCCCCCUCCCGCAAGAAGAGCGUUUUGCGAUAUGUGUGACUUUUGACGUGCAUUCUAGAUGACUGCAGCUGUGCUCUAUAAAGUGCGUUUCCAACUCGUUCGGAGAAGAGGACUUGAAACAGUCUUUACAACCUGCUAACUGAGAUCUUCCUUAUUUCUGAUUAAACAUCUCGGGGAAAAAGGGAUCGAUCUGUGGUGACCAGACAGGUGGAAUUGAGACAAUGAAACAGCCCUGUAGUUUAGCUGUAUUUUUCCCCUUCUUGCAGUAUCCUGUUGGUCACAUUUCAGCGAAUAGUGCACAGUUUUGGUCACCAGGUUCCUAAGAUAGUGCAGCUAUGGAGCUGGUAGGGGAAAGAGCAACGGAAUAUUUCCGGACAUAAAGGGAUGUCCUGCACUGGCAGGCUGGAGGAACUGGAUCGCUUUAGUCUUGAACAGAGAAGACUGCAAACGCACCCAAGUGAAGUAACUACAAAGGCGCUAACAAGUGAAGGUGAUGGGCUUAAGAAUAAAUGGUGCAACGACAAGCUGAGGAAAGUACUGGAAGCAGGGAAUCAUGUUGGAAGCUGAGGACAGGAGGCAUGAAAGCUUUACACCAAGACUUGUAGGAGUAUGCAGCAACUUCGUUUUGUUAAGCAGGGGUUUGUCUUCCACCAGAGCCUUUUGCAAAAGGAUAUUGUUAUUCUGGGGCAGCAGUGCAUUCUGAUUAAUUACAGUCAGGAGUGUCGUCCUUGGACUUUUCAGAAACUGAUUUUCAUGGAAGGAUGCGAUGAAUGUAUGACUGUAAUAUGGAAGGCUGCAGAGCGACUCUGGGAAGGUGGUGCUUUAGUGGAGGGGUCAGUUACAGUGGGUAUAGAAAGUCACCACCCCCUUUCAAAACUUGUACCUUUUGUUGUCUGACACUCUGAAAAUAAAAACAAAUAAGGCUUGUUCCAUUUUUGUUUACACACAGUAACCCACAUUAGCCAAGUGAAAAUAAAACAUUCUGAAUUACUGUUACAACUGUAAAAUACCUUAUUUGGAUAAGUGAAUACCCCUCUUACAAUUGCGUUUGUACACUUGCUCAGGUCUAACCAAUCACCUUACAGAUUGCAAAACAAACUAAUUGGCUCCCACCUGUCAUCAACUUUGGUGAUUUGGAUCAGUUCAGAAUAAAAGCAGCUCUUUCUAGCAGAUUCUACUGAAUCAAGAAGACCUAUGAGAUAAAGUUGUAGAAAGGCACAAGCCAGGAGAUGGUAUAAAAAGAUUUCAAAGGCUUUAAGUUUCCCAUGGAGCACAGUCAAGACCAGCAUUAAGAAGCGGAAGGCAUGUGGCUCCACCCAGACCUUGCCGAGAUCAGGCCGUCCCUGCAAGAAGGAGACUAACAGAGAGGUUACCAAGAGGCUUCUGGCAGCUUUGAAGGGGCUACAGGCCUUUAUGGCACAGACUGGUCAUUCUGCGCAUGUGACAACAGUAUCACAAGCGAGCCACUAAUCUCAAUCUAGCCUGUAUUAAACGCAUACAAAAAAAGCCCCUCCUUAAAAUAAGACACAUCAAGUCUCGUUUGUUUUGCUAAAAAGCUCCUUAAAGAUUCUGUGGCCAAGGGGCAAAAUGUGCUGUGGACAGAUGAGACCAAAACUGACUUUCUGUACCCACUGUAAAUGGGAAGGGGGUACAUAGUUAACACAAGGUUUGGAAACUUGAGCUCCUCUUUCUCAGGUACCUGAACAUGAAACAAGCUUUGUGUUUUGUCUCAUGUGAACUGAUAUCACAGGAUAGGAACAUACUGUAUCAGAGUCACCUUCCCUGAGCACUUUCAAGUCAAGAUUCAGAACCUUCUUCAGAAGAAGAAUGUCAAACCCUGUACUGUGUGUAAUUCUGCUGUCUCCUGUAAUUGUGUGAUUUGUUCUUACUGUAAAAUGCUUUGAAAGGUCACUUUUAAAGCACCAUGUAAAAUAAAGUAAAAUUACAUUUUA